GACGAACGCUGGCGGCGUGCCUAAUACAUGCAAGUAGAACGCACAGUAUAUACCGUAGCUUGCUACACCAUAGACUGUGAGUUGCGAACGGGUGAGUAACGCGUAGGUAACCUGCCUGGUAGCGGGGGAUAACUAUUGGAAACGAUAGCUAAUACCGCAUAAUAUUAAUUAUUGCAUGAUAAUUGAUUGAAAGAUGCAACUGCAUCACUACCAGAUGGACCUGCGUUGUAUUAGCUAGUAGGUGAGGUAACGGCUCACCUAGGCGACGAUACAUAGCCGACCUGAGAGGGUGAUCGGCCACACUGGGACUGAGACACGGCCCAGACUCCUACGGGAGGCAGCAGUAGGGAAUCUUCGGCAAUGGGGGCAACCCUGACCGAGCAACGCCGCGUGAGUGAAGAAGGUUUUCGGAUCGUAAAGCUCUGUUGUAAGAGAAGAACGAGUGUGAGAGUGGAAAGUUCACACUGGACG
rnacentral:rRNA from 1 species